rnacentral:tRNA from 1 species
GGACCCAUGGCGCAACGGUAGCGCGUCAGAUUCCAGUUCCUGGAACUUCCUGAAGGUGUACGUACUCUUAUCCUGCCUCCUCUUGCGAAUGCAAUAUCUAACCCCUUAACAGUAGGCGUUCGAAUCGCCUUGGGUUCA